AGGAGUGGCGAACGGGUGAGUAACACGUGGGUAACCUGCCCAUCAGAAGGGGAUAACACUUGGAAACAGGUGCUAAUACCGUAUAACAAUCGAAACCGCAUGGUUUCGUUUUGAAAGGCGCUUUACGGUGCCGCUGAUGGAUGGACCCGCGGUGCAUUAGCUAGUUGGUGAGGUAACGGCUCACCAAGGCCACGAUGCAUAGCCGACCUGAGAGGGUGAUCGGCCACAUUGGGACUGAGACACGGCCCAAACUCCUACGGGAGGCAGCAGUAGGGAAUCUUCGGCAAUGGACGAAAGUCUGACCGAGCAACGCCGCGUGAGUGAAGAAGGUUUUCGGAUCGUAAAACUCUGUUGUUAGAGAAGAACAAGGGUGAGAGUAACUGUUCACCCCUUGACGGUAUCUAACCAGAAAGCCACGGCUAACUACGUGCCAGCAGCCGCGGUAAUACGUAGGUGGCAAGCGUUGUCCGGAUUUAUUGGGCGUAAAGCGAGCGCAAGGCGGUUUCUUAAGUCUGAUGUGAAAGCCCCCGGCUCAUCCGGGGAGGGUCAUUGGAAACUGGGAGACUUGAGUGCAGAAGAGGAGAGUGGAAUUCCAUGUGUAGCGGUGAAAUGCGUAGAUAUAUGGAGGAACACCAGUGGCGAAGGCGGCUCUCUGGUCUGUAACUGACGCUGAGGCUCGAAAGCGUGGGGAGCAAACAGGAUUAGAUACCCUGGUAGUCCACGCCGUAAACGAUGAGUGCUAAGUGUUGGAGGGUUUCCGCCCUUCAGUGCUGCAGCUAACGCAUUAAGCACUCCGCCUGGGGAGUACGACCGCAAGGUUGAAACUCAAAGGAAUUGACGGGGGCCCGCACAAGCGGUGGAGCAUGUGGUUUAAUUCGAAGCAACGCGAAGAACCUUACCAGGUCUUGACAUCCUUUGACCACUCUAGAGAUAGAGCUUCCCCUUCGGGGGCAAAGUGACAGGUGGUGCAUGGUUGUCGUCAGCUCGUGUCGUGAGAUGUUGGGUUAAGUCCCGCAACGAGCGCAACCCUUAUUGUUAGUUGCCAUCAUUUAGUUGGGCACUCUAGCAAGACUGCCGGUGACAAACCGGAGGAAGGUGGGGAUGACGUCAAAUCAUCAUGCCCCUUAUGACCUGGGCUACACACGUGCUACAAUGGGAAGUACAACGAGUCGCGAAGUCGCGAGGCUAAGCUAAUCU
rnacentral:rRNA from 1 species